rnacentral:rRNA from 1 species
GUCUAUGGCCAUACCACCCUGAACACUCCCGAUCUCAUCUGAUCUUGGAAGCUAAGCAGGGUUGGGUCUGGUUAGUACUUGGAUGGGAGAGAACAAUGAGCUAGUGUGGAAGACAGAUGGAUAGAGC